rnacentral:rRNA from 1 species
GAUUAUUAAAGGAUUCCGGUAAAGGAUGGGGAUGCGUUCCAUUAGGUUGUUGGUGAGGUAACGGCCCACCAAGCCUUCGAUGGAUAGGGGUUCUGAGAGGAAGGUCCCCCACAUUGGAACUGAGACACGGUCCAAACUCCUACGGGAGGCAGCAGUGAGGAAUAUUGGUCAAUGGGCGCGAGCCUGAACCAGCCAAGUAGCGUGAAGGAUGACUGCCCUAUGGGUUGUAAACUUCUUUUAUAUUAGAAUAAAGUGCAGUAUGUAUACUGUUUUGUAUGUAUAAUAUGAAUAAGGAUCGGCUAACUCCGUGCCAGCAGCCGCGGUAAUACGGAGGAUCCGAGCGUUAUCCGGAUUUAUUGGGUUUAAAGGGAGCGUAGGUGGACUGGUAAGUCAGUUGUGAAAGUUUGCGGCUCAACCGUAAAAUUGCAGUUGAUACUGUCAGUCUUGAGUACAGUAGAGGUGGGCGGAAUUCGUGGUGUAGCGGUGAAAUGCUUAGAUAUCACGAAGAACUCCGAUUGCGAAGGCAGCUCACUGGACUGCAACUGACACUGAUGCUCGAAAGUGUGGGUAUCAAACAGGAUUAGAUACCCUGGUAGUCCACACAGUAAACGAUGAAUACUCGCUGUUUGCGAUAUACAGUAAGCGGCCAAGCGAAAGCAUUAAGUAUUCCACCUGGGGAGUACGCCGGCAACGGUGAAACUCAAAGGAAUUGACGGGGGCCCGCACAAGCGGAGGAACAUGUGGUUUAAUUCGAUGAUACGCGAGGAACCUUACCCGGGCUUAAAUUGCAGUGGAAUGAUGUGGAAACAUGUCAGUGAGCAAUCACCGCUGUGAAGGUGCUGCAUGGUUGUCGUCAGCUCGUGCCGUGAGGUGUCGGCUUAAGUGCCAUAACGAGCGCAACCCUUAUCUUCAGUUACUAACAGGUCAUGCUGAGGACUCUGGAGAGACUGCCGUCGUAAGAUGUGAGGAAGGUGGGGAUGACGUCAAAUCAGCACGGCCCUUACGUCCGGGGCUACACACGUGUUACAAUGGGGGGUACAGAAGGCAGCUACCUGGUGACAGGAUGCUAAUCCCAAAAGCCUCUCUCAGUUCGGAUCGAAGUCUGCAACCCGACUUCGUGAAGCUGGAUUCGCUAGUAAUCGCGCAUCAGCCACGGCGCGGUGAAUACGUUCCCGGGCCUUGUACACACCGCCCGUCAAGCCAUGGGAGCCGGGGGUACCUGAAGUACGUAACCGCAAGGAGCGUCCUAGGGUAAAACUGGUGACUGGGGCUAAGUCGUAACAAGGUAGCCGUACCGGAAGGUGCGGCUG